rnacentral:rRNA from 1 species
GACGAACGCUGGCGGCGUGCCUAAUACAUGCAAGUAGAACGCACAGUUUAUACCGUAGCUUGCUACACCAUAGACUGUGAGUUGCGAACGGGUGAGUAACGCGUAGGUAACCUGCCUGGUAGCGGGGGAUAACUAUUGGAAACGAUAGCUAAUACCGCAUAAUAUUGAUUAUUGCAUGAUAAUUGAAUGAAAGAUGCUAUUGCAUCACUACCAGAUGGACCUGCGUUGUAUUAGCUAGUAGGUGAGGUAACGGCUCACCUAGGCGACGAUACAUAGCCGACCUGAGAGGGUGAUCGGCCACACUGGGACUGAGACACGGCCCAGACUCCUACGGGAGGCAGCAGUAGGGAAUCUUCGGCAAUGGACGAAAGUCUGACCGAGCAACGCCGCGGGAGUGAAGAAGGUUUUCGGAUCGUAAAGCUCUGUUGUAAGAGAAGAACGGGUGUGAGAGUGGAAAGUUCACACUGUGACGGUAUCUUACCAGAAAGGGACGGCUAACUACGUG